rnacentral:rRNA from 1 species
GACGAACGCUGGCGGCGUGCCUAAUACAUGCAAGUCGAGCGGACGGAUGGGAGCUUGCUCCCAGACCGUCAGCGGCGGACGGGUGAGUAACACGUGGGCAACCUGCCUGUAAGACUGGGAUAACUCCGGGAAACCGGGGCUAAUACCGGAUAACUCUUUCCCUCACAUGAGGGGAAGCUGAAAGAUGGCAUCUCGCUAUCACUUACAGAUGGGCCCGCGGCGCAUUAGCUAGUUGGUGAGGUAACGGCUCACCAAGGCGACGAUGCGUAGCCGACCUGAGAGGGUGAUCGGCCACACUGGGACUGAGACACGGCCCGGACUCCUACGGGAGGCAGCAGUAGGGAAUCUUCCGCAAUGGACGAAAGUCUGACGGAGCAACGCCGCGUGAGUGAUGAAGGUUUUCGGAUCGUAAAACUCUGUUGUCAGGGAAGAACAAGUACCGGAGUAACUGCCGGUACCUUGACGGUACCUGACCAGAAAGCCACGGCUAACUACGUG